CGAUUUCGAGGACCGACAGCCAUGACUGAACUGCGAUCUACGAGGCACAUGAAUGGACAUUGGCAAUCUGAUCAGACAAUGCGGUAUGUGAGAAGGCCUCGGGUGUAAAGCAUUGGUCGAAGGAUCCAUUGCCUAUAUCGCCGGGGGGAAUGACGUACCGGAAGAAUAAGCACCGGCUACUACGUGGCAGCAGCGCCGGUAAUACGUAGGGUGGCAGCGUAAAUCGGAAAUUACUGGGCGUAAAUGCGUGCGCAGGCGGUGAUGCUAAGAACCGAUGUGAAAUCCCCGGGCUUAACCUGGGAACUGCAUUGGUGACUGCAUCGCUGGAGUAUGGCAGAGGGGGGUAGAAUUUCCACGUGUAGCAGUGAAAUGCGUAGAGAUGUGGAGGAAUACCGAUGGCGAAGGCAGCCCCCUGGGGCCAAUACUGACGCUCAUGCACGAAAGCGUGGGGAGCAAACAGGAUUAGAUACCCCUGGUAGUCCACGCCCUAAACGAUGUCAACUGGUUGUCGGGCCUUCAUUGGCUUGGUAACGUAGCUAACGCGUGAAGUUGACCGCCUGGGGAGUACGGUCGCAAGAUUAAAACUCAAAGGAAUUGACGGGGACCCGCACAAGCGGUGGAUGAUGUGGAUUAAUUCGAUGCAACGCGAAAAACCUUACCUACCCUUGACAUGUACGGAAUCCUGCUGAGAGGUGGGAGUGCCCGAAAGGGAGCCGUAACACAGGUGCUGCAUGGCUGUCGUCAGCUCGUGUCGUGAGAUGUUGGGUUAAGUCCCGCAACGAGCGCAACCCUUGUCCCCAGUUGCUACGCAAGAGCACUCCGGGGAGACUGCCGGUGACAAACCGGAGGAAGGUGGGGAUGACGUCAAGUCCUCAUGGCCCUUAUGGGUAGGGCUUCACACGUCAUACAAUGGUCGGAACAGAGGGUUGCGAAGCCGCGAGGUGGAGCCAAUCCCAGAAAACCGAUCGUAGUCCGGAUCGCAGUCUGCAACUCGACUGCGUGAAGCUGGAAUCGCUAGUAAUCGCGGAUCAGCAUGCCGCGGUGAAUACGUUCCCGGGUCUUGUACACACCGCCCGUCACACCAUGGGAGUGGGUUUUGCCAGAAGUGGCUAGUCUAACCGCAAGGAGGACGGUCACCCCGGCAGGAUUCAUGACUGGGGGAAGUCGUAUACAUGGAGCCUUAGUGCG
rnacentral:rRNA from 1 species